GUCUACGGCCAUGCCGCCCUGAACAAGCCCGAUCCUGUCUGAUCUUGGAAGCUAACCAGAGUUGGGCCUGGUUAGUACUUGGAUGGGAGACCACCUGGGAAUAUUGGGUGCUGUAGGCU
rnacentral:rRNA from 1 species